GAUUGGUGCAGCCCCACGUCGGUCAGGACGCUGCGGGCGGCGAUUGGAGGAGGCGGGCUGUCACUCAUCCGGCUGUCCCGCCUUCCCAUCCCUCGCUCACGGCGGUGGGCGGCUGGCGGCGGCGGUGGCGGUUUCCUCCUUUUUGUCGGUUUCCUCGGCGGUGCAGGAGGCGGUGGCGGUGAGAGAAGGAGGGGGGAGCCGGGGCUCUCUCUUUCUCUCACACACACACACACGCGGACACCAUGGAGGAGAGCGGCCCGAUCCCGCCGGACCUGACCCCCGAGGAGAGGCUGGAGUUGGAGAACAUCCGCAGGCGCAAGAUGGAGCUCAUCGUGGAGAUCCAGAGGCUCCGGGACGAGCUGAAGGAGGCCAUGCUCGAGGUGGAAGGGCUCGAGAUCAACGAGGGAA